AGGAAAGGGAGGGAUUCGACCC
rnacentral:tRNA from 1 species